rfam:Ciona savignyi cont_8446, whole genome shotgun sequence.
UCGUAUUUUAGUUAACGUAUCUGUAUAACACAUAAAGAAAAGUUUGCCAUAUCUAGACCGGAACGUUUAUACUUUUAAAAAAUUAGAGUGUUCAAAGCAGGCUCUCGAGCCUGGAUAAUGGUGCAUGGAAUAAUGGAAUAGGACCUCGUUUCUAUUUUGUUGGUUUUCGGAGCGCGAGGUAAUGAUUAAGAGGGACAGACGGGGGCAUUCGUACUGUGCCGUUAGAGGUGAAAUUCUUGGAUCGGCGCAAGACGAACGAUUGCGAAAGUAUUUGCCAAGAAUGGUUUUCUUUAACCAAGA